CGUGUAGGCGGCUGGGUAAGUCAGAUGUGAAAGCCCUGGGCUCAACCCAGGACGAGCAUUUGAAACUGCUCAGCUAGAGUGGGGGAGGGGAAAGUGGAAUUCCUGGUGUAGAGGUGAAAUUCGUAGAUAUCAGGAGGAACACCGGUGGCGAAGGCGGCUUUCUGGCCCUUAACUGACGCUGAGACGCGAAAGCGUGGGGAGCAAACAGGAUUAGAUACCCUGGUAGUCC
rnacentral:rRNA from 1 species